rnacentral:rRNA from 1 species
AUUGAACGCUGGCGGUAGGCCUAACACAUGCAAGUCGAACGGUAGCACAGAGAGCUUGCUCUCGGGUGACGAGUGGCGGACGGGUGAGUAACGUCUGGGAAACUGCCCGAUGGAGGGGGAUAACUACUGGAAACGGUAGCUAAUACCGCAUAACGUCGCAAGACCAAAGUGGGGGACCUUCGGGCCUCACACCAUCGGAUGUGCCCAGAUGGGAUUAGCUAGUAGGUGGGGUAAUGGCUCACCUAGGCGACGAUCCCUAGCUGGUCUGAGAGGAUGACCAUCCACACUGGAACUGAGAUACGGUCCAGCCUCCUACGGGAGGCAGCAGUGGGGAAUAUUGCACAAUGGGCGCAAGUCUGAUGCAGCCAUGCCGCGUGUAUGAAGAAGGCCUUCGGGUUGUAAAGUACUUUCAGCGGGGAGGAAGGCGGUGGAGUUAAUAACUUCACCGAUUGACGUUACCCGCAGAAGAAGCACCGGCUAACUCCGUGCCAGCAGCCGCCGCCG